UUUAUGGAGAGUUUGAUCCUGGCUCAGGAUGAACGCUGGCGGCGUGCCUAAUACAUGCAAGUCGAGCGAACGGACGAGAAGCUUGCUUCUCUGAUGUUAGCGGCGGACGGGUGAGUAACACGUGGAUAACCUACCUAUAAGACUGGGAUAACUUCGGGAAACCGGAGCUAAUACCGGAUAAUAUUUUGAACCGCAUGGUUCAAAAGUGAAAGACGGUCUUGCUGUCACUUAUAGAUGGAUCCGCGCUGCAUUAGCUAGUUGGUAAGGUAACGGCUUACCAAGGCAACGAUGCAUAGCCGACCUGAGAGGGUGAUCGGCCACACUGGAACUGAGACACGGUCCAGACUCCUACGGGAGGCAGCAGUAGGGAAUCUUCCGCAAUGGGCGAAAGCCUGACGGAGCAACGCCGCGUGAGUGAUGAAGGUCUUCGGAUCGUAAAACUCUGUUAUUAGGGAAGAACAUAUGUGUAAGUAACUGUGCACAUCUUGACGGUACCUAAUCAGAAAGCCACGGCUAACUACGUGCCAGCAGCCGCGGUAAUACGUAGGUGGCAAGCGUUAUCCGGAAUUAUUGGGCGUAAAGCGCGCGUAGGCGGUUUUUUAAGUCUGAUGUGAAAGCCCACGGCUCAACCGUGGAGGGUCAUUGGAAACUGGAAAACUUGAGUGCAGAAGAGGAAAGUGGAAUUCCAUGUGUAGCGGUGAAAUGCGCAGAGAUAUGGAGGAACACCAGUGGCGAAGGCGACUUUCUGGUCUGUAACUGACGCUGAUGUGCGAAAGCGUGGGGAUCAAACAGGAUUAGAUACCCUGGUAGUCCACGCCGUAAACGAUGAGUGCUAAGUGUUAGGGGGUUUCCGCCCCUUAGUGCUGCAGCUAACGCAUUAAGCACUCCGCCUGGGGAGUACGACCGCAAGGUUGAAACUCAAAGGAAUUGACGGGGACCCGCACAAGCGGUGGAGCAUGUGGUUUAAUUCGAAGCAACGCGAAGAACCUUACCAAAUCUUGACAUCCUUUGACAACUCUAGAGAUAGAGCCUUCCCCUUCGGGGGACAAAGUGACAGGUGGUGCAUGGUUGUCGUCAGCUCGUGUCGUGAGAUGUUGGGUUAAGUCCCGCAACGAGCGCAACCCUUAAGCUUAGUUGCCAUCAUUAAGUUGGGCACUCUAAGUUGACUGCCGGUGACAAACCGGAGGAAGGUGGGGAUGACGUCAAAUCAUCAUGCCCCUUAUGAUUUGGGCUACACACGUGCUACAAUGGACAAUACAAAGGGCAGCGAAACCGCGAGGUCAAGCAAAUCCCAUAAAGUUGUUCUCAGUUCGGAUUGUA
rnacentral:rRNA from 1 species